rnacentral:rRNA from 1 species
GACGAACGCUGGCGGCGUGCUUAACACAUGCAAGUCGAACGGAAAGGCCCUGCUUUUGUGGGGUACUCGAGUGGCGAACGGGUGAGUAACACGUGAGUAACCUGCCCUUGACUUUGGGAUAACUUCAGGAAACUGGGGCUAAUACCGGAUAGGAGCUCCUGCUGCAUGGUGGGGGUUGGAAAGUUUCGGCGGUUGGGGAUGGACCCGCGGCUUAUCAGCUUGUUGGUGGGGUAGUGGCUUACCAAGGCUUUGACGGGUAGCCGGCCUGAGAGGGUGACCGGCCACAUUGGGACUGAGAUACGGCCCAGACUCCUACGGGAGGCAGCAGUGGGGAAUAUUGCACAAUGGGCGGAAGCCUGAUGCAGCAACGCCGCGUGCGGGAUGACGGCCUUCGGGUUGUAAACCGCUUUCGCCUGUGACGAAGCGUGAGUGACGGUAAUGGGUAAAGAAGCACCAGCUAACUACGUG